rnacentral:rRNA from 1 species
GACGAACGCUGGCGGCGUGCCUAAUACAUGCAAGUAGAACGCUGAAGGAGGAGCUUGCUUCUCUGGAUGAGUUGCGAACGGGUGAGUAGCGCGUAGGUAACCUGCCUGGUAGCGGGGGAUAACUAUUGGAAACGAUAGCUAAUACCGCAUAAGAGUAGAUGUCGCAUGACAUUUGCUUAAAAGGUGCAAUUGCAUCACUACCAGAUGGACCUGCGUUGUAUUAGCUAGUUGGUGAGGUAACGGCUCACCAAGGCAACGAUACAUAGCCGACCUGAGAGGGUGAUCGGCCACACUGGGACUGAGACACGGCCCAGACUCCUACGGGAGGCAGCAGUAGGGAAUCUUCGGCAAUGGACGGAAGUCUGACCGAGCAACGCCGCGUGAGUGAAGAAGGGUUUCGGAUCGUAAAGCUCUGUUGUAAGAGAAGAACGAGUGUGAGAGUGGAAAGUUCACACUGUGACGGUAGCUUACCAGAAAGGGACGGCUAACUACGUG